ensembl:lncRNA novel transcript
GCCCCCGUCAUGGCGCCCGAGGAGAACGCGGGGAGCGAACUCUUGCUGCAGAGUUUCAAGCGCCGCUUCCUGGCAGCGCGCGCCCUGCGCUCCUUCCGCUGGCAGAGCUUAGAAGCAAAGUUAAGAGACUCAUCAGAUUCUGAGCUGCUGCGGGAUAUUUUGCAGAAGAGAGCACUUGGAGAUGGCAAAGCUGAACCUCACACUGUAGGACUCACACAUGACUCCAACGGGAUUGUGAGAAUUAAGUCACUCUCGUGGGAAGAAUUUUUAUAUGGGAAAGCGGAUAAAACUUUCAUUGGACUGGAAUGUUUGGAGAAUGUUAAAUUCCAAAUCAGGAACCACAAACUGCGCUCUAAUAAGACAUCGGCUAUCUAAGCAUGUGGGUUCCCCCUUUCUGCCAGCAGUUCUGGUUCUUAAGAAAAUCACCAUAAAUCAGACAUGAAAAUUCUGGCUCCAAAAAUAGCAUUUUCAUUGUGCAAAUAAAAACGUGUGUAUCAAGUAUGACAUUCCCCCAACGUGGACACACUUGGUUCCUCACAAAGCCAAGCCCGCUGCAGCUGCCACAUCCCUGGACACACUCGUUUCCUCACAAAGCCAAGCCCGCUGCAGCUGCCACAUCCCUGGACACACUCGGUUCCUCACAAAGCCAAGCCCGCUGCAGCUGCCACAUCCCUGGACACACUCGUUUCCUCACAAAGCCAAGCCCGCUGCAGCUGCCACAUCCCUGGACACACUCGUUUCCUCACAAAGCCAAGCCCGCUGCAGCUGCCACAUCCCUGGACACACUCGGUUCCUCAAAAAGCCAAGCCGGCUGCAGCUGCCACAUCCCUGGGUUUAUGAUGCAGCAGGUGCUUUUUUCAAGACAGGAAUCAAAGUGUUAGGAACAUGGCAGAAAGGUGACACCUGGAGACCAAAUGCAGGGUAAGGAGUACUGCAGAGGUCACAGGGAAGUCACAGAACAGUAAUACGCUAGCAGGGGCAUGGGGCGUGAAGAACAGAAGACAGGAAGCGUUUCAGAGACUCCAAAGAAGAAAUCAGGGCCAACCACAGCUUCCCGAGUCAUUCACCAGGUGGCACCACUGCCUUCAUUUCAGCUUCCGGCCACUGGGAGGCGCUGCUCGAAAGGGUUUGCCCUGAGACACCAAGAAGAAGCUGCGGGAAGGACAGCAGGGGCCCUGGGGUUUUAGCCUCUGGCCCAGGAGUUAUGUGUCCAUAACCAAAGGGAGCACAGUCUGCACCCAGCUCUCAUCCCAUCAGAGCUGCUGCGACUCCCGCAGGUUCUUCCAGAACUGGUUUAGCUUGCCUGCAGGAUCAGGAAAGUUUGAGAAAAGCAUCUGCAAAAUACUAAAGAGCAGAGCUUACUUCAUUGCCUGUCCCCACCCCAUCCCAGGUCACCACCUGGCUGAACCCAGGUCCCCGACCCAACAACAACCCCUCCCAAGUCCCUAACUCCCUCACUUGGACUUGAGACCCUUCACAACCCAGCAGCGCUCCGCCUCCAACUUGACAUCAUGCUUUCUGGAAACUUCCCCGUGUGUCCCACUUUCCCACACUUGGUGCGCUGGAGCACCUUCCGGCCUCUACAUGCUGUACGUUCCCCUGUGAGCACCCUCCUCUCAGCCUCUGGCCAACACAGUCCCACCCAUCUGUGGGUAACAAGGGGGUGUGGGUGUUCUUUUCAGCCUUGCUAAACUGUCUGAAUCAAGGAUCACAAACUACAGCCUGCAGGCCAAAUCCAGCCCACAGCCUGUGUUUGUAAAUAAAGCUUUAUUGGAA